rnacentral:lncRNA from 1 species
ACUCUUGUGAAGGUAAUGCAUCUCAAGUCUUUAGAAGAUGUGAUUUUGAUGGUUUGUGCAUUUGGUGUUUCUUUCUAAUUUCAUUCUGCAGCAACUGUACAUACUGUGGUUCCUUUCUGGACUUUGAUUGAUCUUUUCUGAUUAUAUACUUAUUUCAAGCUGCAGUCACAUAUAUUACCUUCGUGGUUACAUAAGAUGGACAGAAAGAUAGCCAAGCACCCACCAGCAACCAUGAUGAUUCUGGUUCCAAGACUGAUGCAUGCGGCAAUUAUGGAAUUGUUUGAGAACAGAGUGUCCAGUUCAGUUUACAAAGAGUAGCUUCAGACGGCUUCGUGUAUAAGAAAUUACUUGUAUAAACGCAAU